rnacentral:rRNA from 1 species
UACGGGGGGGGCAAGCGUUGUUCGGAAUUACUGGGCGUAAAGGGCUCGUAGGCGGCCAACUAAGUCAGACGUGAAAUCCCCAGGCUCAACCUGGGAACUGCGUCUGAUACUGGAUGGCUUGAAUUCGGGAGAGGGAUGCAGAAUUCCAGGUGUAGCGGUGAAAUGCGUAGAUAUCUGGAGGAAUACCGGUGGCGAAGGCGGAUCUCUGGGCCUUACCUGACGCUCAGGCGCGAAAGCUAGGGGAGCGAACAGG